rnacentral:lncRNA from 1 species
UCUGUCUUUGCUAAAUAGAGUAACAAGAAAUUUCACAGCUCCAAAGAGUGAACAUACCAUGGAUUAGGACCAGAGACAGGAAUACUUCCUCUAAAACCAUGAAGGAAGUUCCGGAAUCUAGAUCCAGCAGCUUUGGCAGAAGAGAGCCCAUAGGUGAUGGAAUAACUGGAUCUCCGCGUCCAUCCCAUGAAAAACAGAUCCUUUCUUCUGGAUUCCCCGGGAUUCUCCCAGCAGCCAGCCUUGUUUACAGAAGUCAUCAGGAAUAGUAACAGCUCUUCACAAACGAGCCAUGGAGGAAUCUUUUGGGAAGGCGCCUCACAGUGCUUUGUCAUCUGCUGACAAACUGGUGCCAGGACCAGAACUUCAUAAUAAAGUCUUCAGAGAAAAUUUUGCAGCAGAUCAAGGAAUCUCGAAGCGCUCCGACAAAGGGGAGGAAACCCCUCGCUGCGGGAUGGCAGCCGCGGGUCAGAGGCGUGCAAGCAGCCGUUACCGCCAUCCAGAGGAGAGCAGCCAUCGGCCGUUAGAUUCCAUUUUGUUGUGUGCGUGGAAAGGAGAACCCAACCGGUUGGUCUGGUUCGUGCUGAGGGGUCUCGGAGCAGAAAAACAUAGGUGUGCCACCGCGUCCCGACAGCAGGGACGGGAGGCCGGGGGGGUGGAUGACGGGGGGGUUACAGGUUUUUCCCCUGCCGCAUGA